UACAGAGGGUGCGAGCGUUAAUCGGAAUUACUGGGCGUAAAGGGCUCGUAGGCGGUUUGUCGCGUCGGGAGUGAAAACCUCGGGCUUAACUCGGGGCUUGCUUUCGAUACGGGCAGACUGGAGGUAUGCAGGGGAGAACGGAAUUCCUGGUGUAGCGGUGAAAUGCGCAGAUAUCAGGAGGAACACCGGUGGCGAAGGCGGUUCUCUGGGCAUGACCUGACGCUGAGGAGCGAAAGUGUGGGGAGCGAACAGG
rnacentral:rRNA from 1 species